rnacentral:rRNA from 1 species
UACGGAGGGGGCUAGCGUUGUUCGGAAUUACUGGGCGUAAAGCGCGCGUAGGCGGACCUGCAAGUCGGGGGUGAAAGCCCGAGGCUCAACCUCGGAACUGCCUUCGAUACUGCGGGUCUCGAGUCAGGGAGAGGUGAGUGGAAUUCCUAGUGUAGAGGUGAAAUUCGUAGAUAUUAGGAAGAACACCAGUGGCGAAAGCGCUCUGCUGGACCGGACCUGACACUCAUGGACGAAAGCUAGGGGAGCGAAUGGG